CCUACGGGUGGCAGCAGUGGGGAAUAUUGCGCAAUGGGGGCAACCCUGACGCAGCAACGCCGCGUGAUUGAAGAAGGCCUUCGGGUUGUAAAGAUCUUUAAUUGGGGACGAAAACAAUGACGAUACCCAAAGAAUAAGCUCCGGCUAACUACGUGCCAGCAGCCGCGGUAAUACGGAGGAUGCGAGCGUUAUCCGGAUUUAUUGGGUUUAAAGGGUGCGCAGGCGGAGGUGCAAGUCAGCGGUCAAAUUGCGGGGCUCAACCCCGUACUGCCGUUGAAACUGCAUCCCUUGAGUGCGCGAGAAGUAUGCGGAAGGCGUGGUGUAGCGGUGAAAUGCAUAGAUAGCACGCAGAACUCCGAUUGCGAAGGCAGCAUACCGGCGCGCAACUGACGCUCAUGCACGAAAGCGUGGGUAUCGAACAGGAUUAGAUACCCGAGUAGUC
rnacentral:rRNA from 1 species